CAUUGGAGUGUUGAAUAUGAGAAGCUCAAUAACAAUGUCCCUAAUCCUCACCCCAUGUUCCAUUUUUGUGUUGAAGUUCUCAAAAAUGUUGAUGCUCACCUUGCACCUGAAUACAAGAACUAAACAAAUUAUGAACAAAAAAAGUUCAUGUCAUGUGUUAGUUUGAUUUCUAUAUCUAUGUGUGACAAAUAAAUGAGGAUUUAAUUUCCUCUAUGUGUCUCUAUGACAUGUUACGUAUUUUCAAUUAUGCAUGCAUAUGUUUUUUUUUUUAUCACCGGUAUCCAGCCCACUGGAUCGCCUAAUCUGAUUCGGGGGUUAAUUCUGUCAUCAAGUGGAUACAUAUGGUUUGUUUGUUCAUAAGAGUCGGGUGUAUUAGGUGUGAGCUGGAUUGUUUCUUGUCCACCUUGGGUUGUAAAGCAUAUAAAUAAAAUGUUUCGAUUUCGACUAAUAUCGACAAGUGAAAUAAGUCUUUUAUUAUAUACAAAUGUUAUGAGUGUUAAUCUAAAUUUGUGAGACUUAAGUUUCCAUUGAUAUAUUGU
rnacentral:lncRNA from 1 species